rnacentral:rRNA from 1 species
GUUAAAAAGCUCGUAGUUGGAUCUCGGCGGUCUGAGGGCGGUUCGCUUGAUUGAGUGCUACUGCUCUAUAGGCCGUGGUUUUGCCAGAGGUCUCGGGGUGCUCUUAACCGAGUGUCCUGCGAUGCUGGCAGGUUUACUUUGAAAAAAUUAGAGUGCUCAAAGCAGGCUUUUACGCCUGAAUAUUCGUGCAUGGAAUAAUAGAAUAGGAAGUCGUUUCUAUUUUGUUGGUUUUCGGAAAUCGACUUAAUGAUUAAUAGGGACAGUCGGGGGCAUUUGUAUUCAAACGACAGAGGUGAAAUUCUUGGACCGUUUGAAGACAAACUACUGCGAAAGCAUUUGCCAAGAAUGUUUUCAUUAAUCAAGAACGAAAGUUAGAGGUCCGAAGGCGAUUAGAUACCGCCCUAGUUCUAACCAUAAACGAUGCCAGCUAGCGAUCUGCCGACGUUUUCUUUGUAGACUCGGCAGGAAGCUUCCGGGAAACCAAAGCAUUUGGGUUCCAGGGGAAGUAUGGUUGCAAAGCUGAAACUUAAAGGAAUUGACGGAAGGGCACCACCAGGAGUGGAGCCUGUGGCUUAAUUUGACUCAACACGGGAAAUCUCACCAGGCCCGGACACUGGAAGGAUUGACAGAUUGAUAGCCCUUUCUUGAUUCGGUG